UUGCUGAUGGAUCAAGGCAGUAGGUGGGGAGAUGGGGAGGAUCUCAGAAAAUGGGAAGAAUGUUGCAGUGAGCUGAGAAGGAAGCCUCUGCAGCAAACAUGACCAAGUCCCAGAAGUAGAACAUUGUGGCUGGUUACAGGGAGUUGUCCAGGGCUAAAUCACUGCCAAAUCAAUAUCAGGCCAACAGGAGAUGUCCAGGGAUAUAAACCACCAGGCUUUAAGGGAACAGGACGGCCUCUGGUAGGCUCCACAAAGCAUAGCUCUCUGAGAGGCCCUGAUCCUGGCUGGCAUUAGUGCUCACCAUGCUGGUGAUAAAAGCAGAAAUGUUAGACCAUUCACUCCGAGGAUCACAGCCUCCCUGUACCAGCUGUGGUUUGCCUCAGUUUCCUCGGGAGGCUGAAGGAGGUACAGAGAGAGUAAUACUACACUAAAGGUGAUGCUUGAAUUCUAGGAAGGAGCACUGCUGCCUACACAGAGCUGUUGUUAUUAUACCGGCAAUGGCCUAAGGCACUAUGGACCAGGCUGGUGGCACACACGUUGGCAUCUUGUUCCUCACGCAUCAAUGACUGAACUGGUCAUAAUCCAAGAACCAGCCAAAGCCCCACAUCACUGCCUAGGCUGAUGCUUCUUUGCCAGAGAAGCAGUUACAUGUCUGGGUCUCUAAUUUCCCUGGAGGAUUCUGGGACUACUGCAAACAAUACUGCAAUUUGCCUGUAAGCCACCAAAGUGGCAGCUUUCCCGACAUGUCACACUGCAGCAACAACAUGGGAAAGGGCACAGGCUCUUCAAACACUCCAUUGGAGAUCCCACUUGCCUGGGCUAAGACACUCUCUGCUUACUUGAUUUCUUGUGGGAGCCACCUUAGUUGGCUGGUGUCUGGCACUAUCACACAGGAAUCUUUCUGAAUGGUUAGUCUGCCUUAGUGACAGAUUCUGGCUGGUCCAUCAGGCUUACUUCAGACGUCCAUUCUCCACGGAGGCAAAGAGGAAAAGAGGACCUGUAGGAGGGCAGCCAGAGGAAAGAUGGAGUUAGGGCAUUCAAGAGAAGCAGGGCAUUGGUGCCUGUAGAUACCAACAGUCUUGGACUCCACUAUAGAAUUACUACCUGAUAACACAAUAUGACUUUGAGCAAGGUUCUUAGCAUCUUUGAAAUUGGUUUUCUCACUGUAAAACAGGAAUUAAAAAAAAAAGCCUCCCUCAUACACUGUGAAGAUUGAAGAUAAUGUGUCCAGUGUAUAAUGGAUUUUCAAUAAAUGUUAAUUUACCUUUC